rnacentral:lncRNA from 1 species
GAGACCAUCAUAUCGUUGCCCAUCUUUUAUUUGUUCCCAUGAUAAGAUCUGCUCACCAGAAAAACUCAGAUUGAUCUUUUAGCGGUUUUUGCUGUUAACCUCUCCAAAUUUUAAUUGUCUACAAUGGAAGUGUUCUAAUGCCUCACAUUCCGAUUAAAUGUUUUAGAUUGGAAUUAUCACCCGCUCACCAGAUAGCAUUCUUUCUGUUUAAGAUGCAUCCACCAUCUUCUCUGAUAAGAAACUGUUUCCUUUCUGUUGUCACUCUGUUUUUAGAUAUAACACAAAGUGGUUUGAGCAUUAUAAGAUUGUUCAUACUAAAGUACCAUAAGAUGGUACACCUUCUAGUGUUAAUUUAUAGAAUCCUUUUUGUGGUUUUGUCCUUUAUUUAUCUUCUCGGACAAAUAUAAACUCAUAUCAUGUACUACAUACAACGCGCGAUCUGAUGAACAGUUCAGUCUAAAUUUGUUGAAGAUGCAGGUUCAACUAGACAUUAUUUUGCACCAUAUAUUUACAUGCUAUGCACAUAGAUAUCAUAUGGCGCAAGGUAAUCGAGAAAACUCCAGAGCAUCACAUCUGAUCACGAUGGAAAGCACAUUAGGAUAGUAGGCUAGAAAGGGUCCUUAUUAUGAGCUACUUUCUGAACAAAUGUAGCUGACAUAGGUACAUGACUUAUAAAGUAUAGUUCCAAGCUUGAACGUUGGUUCCAGCUGC